rnacentral:rRNA from 1 species
GUUAUAUGGUCAAGCGAAUAAGCGCACACGGUGGAUGCCUAGGCGGUCAGAGGCGAUGAAGGACGUGGUAGCCUGCGAAAAGUGUCGGGGAGCUGGCAACAAGCUUUGAUCCGGCAAUAUCCGAAUGGGGAAACCCACUGCUUCGGCAGUAUCCUGCAGUGAAUUCAUAGCUGCUGGAAGCGAACCCGGUGAACUGAAAUAUCUAAGUAACCGGAGGAAAAGAAAUCAACCGAGAUUCCCUAAGUAGUGACGAGCGAACGGGGAGCAGCCCUUAAGCUGGAAUGGCUUUAGAAAAACAAUCUGGAAAGAUUGGCCAUAGAAGGUGAUAGCCCUGUAUUUAAAAGGGCCACUCCAGUGAAGACGAGUAGGGCGGGGCACGUGAAACCCUGUCUGAAUAUGGGGGGACCAUCCUCCAAGGCUAAAUACUCCUGACCGACCGAUAGUGAACCAGUACCGUGAGGGAAAGGCGAAAAGAACCCCGGAGAGGGGAGUGAAAUAGAUCCUGAAACCGUGUGCGUACAAGCAGUAGGAGCUCGCAAGAGUGACUGCGUACCUUUUGUAUAAUGGGUCAGCGACUUACUGUUCGUGGCAAGCUUAACCGUAUAGGGGAGGCGAAGGGAAACCGAGUCUGAUAAGGGCGCAUAGUCGCGGGCAGUAGACCCGAAACCGGGUGAUCUAGUCAUGGCCAGGGUGAAGGUGCCGUAACAGGUACUGGAGGCCCGAACCCACGUCUGUUGCAAAAGACGGGGAUGAGCUGUGAUUAGGAGUGAAAAGCUAAUCGAACCCGGAGAUAGCUGGUUCUCCUCGAAAGCUAUUUAGGUAGCGCCUCGGACGAAUACUACUGGGGGUAGAGCACUGUUAUGGCUAGGGGGUCAUCGCGACUUACCAAACCAUUGCAAACUCCGAAUACCAGUACGUACUAUCCGGGAGACACACGGCGGGUGCUAACGUCCGUCGUGAAAAGGGAAACAACCCAGACCCACAGCUAAGGUCCCAAAUUCACUGCUAAGUGGAAAACGAUGUGGAAAGGCAUAGACAGCCAGGAGGUUGGCUUAGAAGCAGCCACCCUUUAAAGAAAGCGUAAUAGCUCACUGGUCGAGUCGGUCUGCGCGGAAGAUUUAACGGGGCUAAGCAGUGAACCGAAGCUUGGGGUGCAUAAAACUUGUUUUAUGCGCGGUAGAGGAGCGUUCCGUAAGCCUGCGAAGGUGGAUUGAGAAGUCUGCUGGAGGUAUCGGAAGUGCGAAUGCUGACAUGAGUAACGAUAAUGCGGGUGAAAAGCCCGCACGCCGAAAGCCCAAGGUUUCCUUGCGCAACGUUAAUCGACGCAGGGUUAGUCGGUCCCUAAGGCGAGGGCGAAAGCCGUAGUCGAUGGGAAGCAGGUUAAUAUUCCUGCACCUCGCGUGAGUGCGAUGGAGGGACGGAGAAGGUUAGGUGUACCGGGCGUUGGUUGUCCCGGGGAAAGGCGGUAGGUUUGGAUCUUUGGCAAAUCCGGGAUCCUUUAAGACCGAGCACCGAGACGAGCCUUUAUGGCGAAGUCACUGAUACCACGCUUCCAGGAAAAGCUCCUAAGCUUCAGCUCACGAAGACCGUACCGUAAACCGACACAGGUGGGUAGGAUGAGAAUUCUCAGGCGCUUGAGAGAACUCGGGUGAAGGAACUAGGCAACAUGGCACCGUAACUUCGGGAGAAGGUGCACCCUUUUUGGUGGCUCAUGCGAGCUAUAGCUGAAGAGGGUCGCAGAAACCAGGCCGCUGCGACUGUUUAUCAAAAACACAGCACUCUGCAAACACGAAAGUGGACGUAUAGGGUGUGACGCCUGCCCGGUGCUGGAAGGUUAAUUGAUGGGGUCAGCCGCAAGGCGAAGCUCUUGAUCGAAGCCCCAGUAAACGGCGGCCGUAACUAUAACGGUCCUAAGGUAGCGAAAUUCCUUGUCGGGUAAGUUCCGACCUGCACGAAUGGCGUAACGACAGCGGCGCUGUCUCCACCCGAGACUCAGUGAAAUUGAAAUCGCUGUGAAGAUGCAGCGUUCCCGUGGCAAGACGGAAAGACCCCGUGAACCUUUACUAUAGCUUUACACUGAACGUUGAGUUCGUCUGUGUAGGAUAGGUGGGAGGCUAUGAAACUGUGGCGCUAGCUGCAGUGGAGCCAUCCUUGAAAUACCACCCUGUCGUGCUUGACGUUCUAACCUAGAUCCGUUAUCCGGAUCAGGGACCGUGUAUGGUGGGUAGUUUGACUGGGGCGGUCUCCUCCUAAAGAGUAACGGAGGAGCACGAAGGUACGCUCAGCGCGGUCGGACAUCGCGCACUGUGUGCAAAGGCAUAAGCGUGCUUGACUGCAAGAUCGACGGAUCAAGCAGGUACGAAAGUAGGUCUUAGUGAUCCGGUGGUUCUGUAUGGAAGGGCCAUCGCUCAACGGAUAAAAGGUACUCCGGGGAUAACAGGCUGAUACCGCCCAAGAGUUCAUAUCGACGGCGGUGUUUGGCACCUCGAUGUCGGCUCAUCACAUCCUGGGGCUGUAGUCGGUCCCAAGGGUAUGGCUGUUCGCCAUUUAAAGUGGUACGCGAGCUGGGUUCAGAACGUCGUGAGACAGUUCGGUCCCUAUCUGCCAUGGGCGUUGGAAGUUUGAGAGGGGCUGCUCCUAGUACGAGAGGACCGGAGUGGACGAACCUCUGGUGUUCCGGUUGUCACGCCAGUGGCAUUGCCGGGUAGCUAUGUUCGGAAGCGAUAACCGCUGAAAGCAUCUAAGCGGGAAGCGCGCCUCAAGAUGAGACUUCCCGGGGCACAAGCCCCCUAAAGGAACCAUAAAGACUAUGUGGUUGAUAGGUCAGGUGUGUAAGUACAGCAAUGUAUUGAGCUAACUGAUACUAAUGAUCCGUGCGGCUUGACCAUAUAACCU